GGAGGCAGAGGUGGGCCACAAUUAGGGCCUGGCUCCAGCCUGCCCCACCUGCUGCUCGGAGCCUGAUCUCAUCUCCAUGUUCCCCUGGACUUUUCCUGGCUCUGGCCACAACAUGGACAGCCUUGGAGCCAGCUCAGAGUGGGACCAUAUCUCACCCCCACGUGUGUUCUGGAGGACCUAGAGGGGAUCCCAGGCCCCUUCCCCAUUUGCCUGUCAGCACUGUCCCAGGUCACAAUCUAUGUGCAGCUGCAGGCUGGGGCCAGAGGUGACAUGGAUGGUAAGCUGCAUGUAUACCGAGGGCCACAGCACGGGGCCUGCCACUCAGUGUCUGUGCAGCAAAGGAAUGAACCAUGCGCCCUGCCUAGGACGGCUCAGGCAGGACUGUCACCUGUGCACUGAAAGCUGCAGUGGGGACAAGCAGCACUAGAGGAACUGAGGGGGCUCCUGCUCAGCCUGGGCUGGCAGCCAGGAAGCCUGGGCCCGUUGGGUACCAAUCUCCCACCCUGCCAGGGAGGAGGGAGGCAUUCGCUCUGGCCCCUGCUCACCUGCUCACCAACGCCCUUAGACCCUCACCAGAAACCUCUCCCCAUCUGGCCACCAGGGAGGCUCGCAGGUGCUAUCGGCUUCCUCAGGACAGCAGAGAGCAGCAGGCUGCCCUGUGAUGCACAGAUCUGUCCUGGGGCAGGGAAAGGUUCUCUCCUAUGCUCCAGGGAACUAAGCCUGGAGGGAAGCAAGCCAGAUGGGGAAGGCAGGUGUGGAGCCGGUCAGGUAGGCGAGGCGAGGCUGCAGGGGGAGUCCUGUAGGAAAGGUGAGGCUGCUGGAAGUAAUGGAGGCUGGCCCCAGGCAGGCAGUGAGCCAAAUGCCAGAAAUGGAAGUCGAGGGUACCAAGUGGCUCUGGUGCCCCAGCACAUGUGGCAGGGCUGAGGCUGUGCAUAGCUUCACCACCUGAAGUCUAGGUCCUGCCCAGAGGCUCCUGCUCCCCAGGUGAGCGGCCAGGACAAGGCCCAGAGAUGGCAGCAGGCAGCCGAUGCCUGGAGGGUGAGCUUCCUGCGAAUUCAAGUGUGGCCAGGUCGGGGGAGCCUGGGGUAGGAUGCGGGGGCCCAUAGGGACAUCGCCCCUGGUCUGAGCUCUGACACGUCACUCUGCCUGGACAACUGCCAGCAGCACCAGCAGCACCCCAAGCUGGACCUGAAGCCUGGCUCUGGGGGACCCUGUGCCACCUCCAGGACAGGUGAGAGGCUGCCUUGCUUCACAGUCCUGCCUUGAGCUUAGAGCCAACAUGUGUGCGCGUGCUUUGGCUGAAACAAGGUCUCCAGAGGCUGGCCUGUCACCCCUGCUGCAUACCCCAGGGAGCAAGGGCAAGGCCACUUGGGCCUCUUGGGGUGGAAAAACAGAGCUUCCUGCCCUCAGAGGUCACUGGGAUGGCCCUGACAUUCCCAGGGCCCAGCAGUCAAGCACACAGGUCCCUAGUAACAAACACACACACACACACACACACACACACACACCA
rnacentral:lncRNA from 1 species